CCUACGGGAGGCAGCAGUGGGGAAUUUUCCGCAAUGGGCGAAAGCCUGACGGAGCAAUACCGCGUGAGGGACGAAGGUCUGUGGAUUGUAAACCUCUUUUGUCAGGGACGAUAAUGACGGUACCUGACGAAUAAGCAUCGGCUAACUCCGUGCCAGCAGCCGCGGUAAGACGGAGGAUGCAAGCGUUAUCCGGAAUUAUUGGGCGUAAAGCGUACGCAGGUGGCUGGUCAAGUCUUUUGUCAAAGCGUGAGGCUUAACCUCAUAAAGGCAGAAGAAACUG
rnacentral:rRNA from 1 species